CAGUCGCCGCGGGAAUACGGAGGGUGCAAGCGUUAAUCGGAAUUACUGGGCGUAAAGCGCACGCAGGCGGUCUGUCAAGUCGGAUGUGAAAUCCCCGGGCUCAACCUGGGAACUGCAUUCGAAACUGGCAGGCUAGAGUCUUGUAGAGGGGGGUAGAAUUCCAGGUGUAGCGGUGAAAUGCGUAGAGAUCUGGAGGAAUACCGGUGGCGAAGGCGGCCCCCUGGACAAAGACUGACGCUCAGGUGCGAAAGCGUGGGGAGCAAAUGGGAUUAGAUACCCCUGUAGUCCCUGUCUCUUAUAC
rnacentral:rRNA from 1 species